ensembl:lncRNA
CCUAUGGGUCUCUAUGGGUCUCUGUGGGUCCCUAUGGGUCUCUAUGGGUCUCUAUGGGUCCCUAUGGGGUCUCUAUGGGUCUCUAUGGGACUCUAUGGGUCCCUAUGGGUCCCUAUGGGGUCCCUAUAUGUCCCUAUGGGUCCCUAUGGGUCUCUAUGCGUCCCUAUAUGUCCCUAUAUGUCUCUAUGGGUCCCUAUGGGUCUCUAUGGGUUUCUAUGUGUCUCUAUGGGUCCCUAUGGGUCCCAAUGUGUCCCUAUGUGUCCCUAUAUGUUCCUAUGGGUCUCUAUGGGUCUCUAUGGAUCCCUAUGGGUCUCUAUGGGUCUCUAUGUGUCCCUAUGGGUCCCAAUGUAUCCCAAUGUAUUUCUAUGGGUCUCUGUGGGUCCCUAUAUGUCCCUAUAUGUCUCUAUGGAUCCCUAUGGGUCCUUAUAUGUUCCUAUAUGUCUCUAUGGGUCUCUCUCUAUGGGGUCCCUAUGGGUCUCUAUGGGUCCCUAUGGGUCCCAAUGUGUCCCUAUAUGUCCCUAUGGGUCCCUAUGGGUCCCUAUGAGUCCCUGUGGGUCCCUAUGGGUCUGUAUGGGUCUCUAUGGGUCCCCAUGGGUCUCUAUGGGGUCCCUAUGUGUCCCUAUGGGUCCCUAUGUGUCUCUAUGGGUCCCUAUGGGUCCAUAUGGGUCCCUAUGGGUCCAUUUGGGUCCCUAUGGAUCUGUAUGGGUCCAUAUGGGUCCCUGUGGGUCCAUAUGGGUCUGUAUGGGUCCCUAUGUGUCCCUUUGGGUCCCUAUGGGGUCUGUGUAUCCCUAUAUGUCUCUAUGAGUCCCUAUGUGUCUCUAUGUGUCCGUAUGGGUCUCUAUGGGUCCCUAUGGAUCCCUAUGGAUCCCUAUGGGUCCCAAUGUGUCCCUAUAUGUCCCUAUGGGUCCCUAUGGCUCCCUAUUGGUCUCUAUGGGUCUCUAUGUGUCCCUAUGGGUUUCUAUGGGUCUCUAUGGGUCUCUAUGGGUCUCUAUGUGUCCCUAUGGGUCUCUGUGGGUCUCUAUGAGUCUCUAUGGGUUCCUAUGUGUUUCAAUGGGAUGCUAUGGGUCUCUAUGGGGUCUUUAUGGGUCCCUAUGGGUCCCUAUGUGUCUCUAUGGGUCCUUAUAUGUCCCUAUGGGUCUCUAUGGGUCCCUAUAGGUCUCUAUGGGUCCCUAUUGGUCUCUAUAUGUGCCUAUGGGUCUCUAUAUGUCCCUAUGGGUCUCUAUGGGUCUCUAUGUGUCCCUAUGGGUCCCUAUAUGUCCCUAUGGGUCUCUAUGGGUCUCUAUGGGUACCUAUGGGUCCCUAUGGCUCCCUGUGGGUCCCAAUGUGUCCCUAUAUCCCCUAUAUAUCUAUAGGGUGAGCACCCCGAGGCUCGCCGUCUCCUGUCUAUGGCCCUAAGGCAGAACUGUGGGGCCGCGGCCCUAAAGGAGAGUCUGCAACACGCCGAGGCCGCGGUCAGGAGCCAGCCCAGAGAUGGGAGGAACUGGUGUAAGGGGGAGAUAUGGGGCGAUAUGGGGGGAUAUGGGGGGAUAUGGGGUGAUAUGGGGUGUCUAUGGGGCUCUAUGGGGCUCUAUGGGGUGUCUGUGGGGCCGCGGCCCUAAAGGAGAGUCUGCAACACGCCGAG